rnacentral:rRNA from 1 species
AGCAGCCGCGGUAAUUCCAGCUCCAAUAGCGUAUAUUAAAGUUGUUGCAGUUAAAAAGCUCGUAGUUGAAUUUCGGGGUUAGUAGGUUGGUCAUGCCUCUGGUAUGUACUGGUCUCACUGAUUCCUCCUUCCUUAUGAACCGUAAUGCCAUUAAUUUGGUGUUGCGAGGAAUUUGGACUGUUACUUUGAAAAAAUUAGAGUGUUUAAAGCAAGCUAACGCUUGAAUACAUUAGCAUGGAAUAAUGAAAUAGGACGUUCGAUCUUAUUUUGUUGGUUUCUAGGAUUGACGUAAUGAUUAAUAGGGAUAGUUGGGGGCAUUAGUAUUCAAUUGUCAGAGGUGAGAUUCUUGGAUUUAUUGAAGACUAACUACUGCGAAAGCAUUUGCCAAGGAUGUUUUCAUUAAUCAAGAACGAAAGUUAGGGGAUCGAAGACGAUCAGAUACCGUCGUAGUCUUAACCAUAAACUAUGCCGACUAGGGAUCGGAUGAUGUUAAUUUUUAAUGACUCAUUCGGCGCCUUAA